rnacentral:rRNA from 1 species
CCUACGGGAGGCAGCAGUGUGGAAUAUUGGUCAAUGGGCGCAACCCUGAACCAGCCAAGUAGCGUGAAGGAUGACGGCCCUAUGGGUUGUAAACUGCUUUUAUGCGGGGAUAAACUGAGUCACGUGUGGCUUAUUGCAGGUACCGCAUGAAUAAGGACCGGCUAAUUCCGUGCCAGCAGCCGCGGUAAUACGGAGGAUCCGUGCGUUAUCCGGAUUUAUUGGGUUUAAAGGGAGCGCAGGCGGGCCGUUAAGCGAGUUGUGAAAGGCCGCGGCUCAACCGUGGCACUGCAGUUGAUACUGGGGGGCUUGAGUGCGGCGGAGGUAGGCGGAAUUCGUGGUGUAGCGGUGAAAUGCUUAGAUAUCACGAAGAACUCCGAUUGCGAAGGCAGCUUACUGUAGUGUUACUGACGGUGAGGCUCGAAGGUGUGGGUAUCGAACAGGAUUAGAUACCCCUGUAGUC